GCCAGCGUAGCACAGAGGUUUGAGCACUGGACUAUGACUCUGGAGACCAGAGUUUGAAUCCCCACUCAGUCA